UACGGAGGAUCCAAGCGUUAUCCGGAAUCAUUGGGUUUAAAGGGUCCGUAGGCGGGAUAAUAAGUCAGUGGUGAAAGUCUGCAGCUCAACUGUAGAACUGCCAUUGAUACUGUUGUCCUUGAGUUGUUAUGAAGUGGUUAGAAUGAGUAGUGUAGCGGUGAAAUGCAUAGAUAUUACUCAGAAUACCGAUUGCGAAGGCAGAUCACUAAUAACCAACUGACGCUGAUGGACGAAAGCGUAGGUAGCGAACAGG
rnacentral:rRNA from 1 species